AACGAACGCUGGCGGCAGGCUUAACACAUGCAAGUCGAACGCAUCCUUCGGGGUGAGUGGCAGACGGGUGAGUAACGCGUGGGAACGUGCCCUUCAGUUCGGGAUAACCCAGGGAAACUUGGGCUAAUACCGGAUACGUGCGAGAGCAGAAAGAUUUAUCGCUGAAGGAUCGGCCCGCGUCUGAUUGCUAGUUGGUGGGGUAAUGUCCCACCAAGGCGACGAUCAGUAGCUGGUCUGAGAGGAUGAUCAGCCACAUUGGGACUGAGACACGGCCCAAACUCCUACGGGAGGCAGCAGUGGGGAAUAUUGGACAAUGGGCGCAAGCCUGAUCCAGCCAUGCCGCGUGAGUGAUGAAGGCCUUAGGGUUGUAAAGCUCUUUCGUCCGGGACGAUAAUGACGGUACCGGAAGAAGAAGCCCCGGCUAACUUCGUGCCAGCCGCCGCGGUAA
rnacentral:rRNA from 1 species